rnacentral:rRNA from 1 species
UACGUAGGGUGCAAGCGUUGUCCGGAAUUAUUGGGCGUAAAGAGCUCGUAGGCGGUCUGUCGCGUCGGCUGUGAAAACUCGGGGCUCAACUCCGAGCUUGCAGUCGAUACGGGCAUCACUGGAGUUCGGCAGGGGAGACUGGAAUUCCUGGUGUAGCGGUGAAAUGCGCAGAUAUCAGGAGGAACACCGGUGGCGAAGGCGGGUCUCUGGGCCGAUACUGACGCUGAGGAGCGAAAGCGUGGGGAGCAAACAGG